GGUUGUUUCUCUGCGUCUGGGAGAGAGCCCACUAGAAUUGCGGCUUGGGAUGGGUUAAAAGAGACAUACAUUAGGAGGGCACCGUCCGUAAGGAACUGGACUCUGGGGAGCUCAACAUAUGGGGCUCUGGGAUUCACAUUACGGGGUUGUGAAAGAUUUCCCCCACAUAGGCUACCAUCGUCAUGGGAAACCUGAUACCCAUGAGAGCUG